CACGGGGGGAGCAAGCGUUGUUCGGAAUCACUGGGCGUAAAGGGCGUCUAGGCGGUUCGGUAAGUGGAAUGUGAAAUCCCUCGGCUCACCCGAGGACCUGCAUCCCAAACUGCCGAGCUUGAGUAUGGGAGAGGAUGAGGGAAUUCCUGGUGUAGCGGUGAAAUGCGUAGAUAUCAGGAGGAACACCGGUGGUGUAGACGGCUCACUGGACCAUAACUGACGCUGAGACACGAAAGCGUGGGUAGCAAACAGG
rnacentral:rRNA from 1 species